rnacentral:lncRNA from 1 species
CAAAACACACUUCGACGUAGCAUAUCAUUGCUGUAAUUUUCUGGUACAAAACUCACACAAGGAAGGGCUUACAAUGGAGGAAGACACACACAAACUGCUGCUGUUUCUUCUUCUCUGUUACUUCCCCGGUUUCUGCUCACUUUCGACUGCUACCCACUGCCCUUCUCUCAAUAAUUUCAGCUCCAUGUAACCUACCACUUGGAAAAAAUAAUACACUUAACACACAUUCAACUCUAGCUAACAUUAAGCUAACUCUAGCCAACUAGCCUUACAGCACAGUAACAUUAACAGUUGGUCCUGUCGGAAAAAAAGAGAUGAUAUUUGUAUAGGUAUUUUGUCAAUCAAUUUCUUACAUAAACAAAAACAAUUUUUUGUGGUCUAUAAAUUGAUCCUAUUGUUUGUUUUAAUUUAACCUUUUAAUGUGCUCUAAGGAGAAAAUUCAGCGUUAACCAUUGAGGUAGUGGAUUGAGAGCAGACUCAUCACAGGUUUAGGCCAAGAGCUCUUUCACAAGCAGAAACUGUUCCCAAUCAU